UCCAAAUUCCUUCUGCGCCAGCCUUCGUCGGGUGUGGACGUCUCUCUCUCGCCUGAGUAUCAGUGACAAAUUUCCACCGUUCUCAAUGGGACGCUUGUCCUCAUCUAUUUUGCCCGCCAGGCACUCUACAGGAGGGGCACCUGUAUAUCGGCUUACUCUAGCCAGGUCCAUUUUUUCCGCUCUGCGGGAAAUUCUUUAACGGUGUUUGGUAGGAAGCCAGUUACUGUACUCUGGUGGGGGUGUGGACGUCCCUCUCUGCUGGGGCUGGGCAAGGGCGUCCACCGGAUCUAAUUGGAAAAGUCAAGUUUCUAUCUCUAUUUACAAAGGAACAAAAGUUCCUUUGUUAAUAGAUAAUCAAGAUAACCUGGGACUGAUACACUCUUGAAGUCAUUCUGUUUCGCUCCAUUCUCUCUACAUGUCUGAACCACCUCAACAACCCUUCCUCAGCCCUCUGGACAAGCAGAGUAUAGCACUUUGUCUGGAUUUUUUGGGUUAUCCUCGGAAUACGGAAACAUGACAAUGGCCAUUCGAGGUCGUCUGCAAUUAACACUUGCACUUUUAAAGCCAGAUGUUUCUCAAGUGCCUCAUGUCCUGCAGCAAGUAUGUUCUGCAGUUGGUGCAAGUGAAGGGAGUCUUUUUGACCUAUAAUAAUUUGCAAAUUUUAUAACAAUAAAGUAUUGUUCUGUAAUUAGUUUGGUAGAGUAUUUCAGAUUAAUGUACAAUGGUUUAGUUUAGCAGAUGAAUGGAUAAGAAGGGACUGUAGUAUGUUACAUUUGAUUGUCGUUUAUUUAAAUUACAUGUAAAUGUGCAAAUAAUUGUCAUUUGUAAGGGAGUGUUCAUUAAAAUUUUUUUACAUUACAGUAGGACCCCUGUAUCCAUGGGGGAUGCAUUUCAAGACCAUUAUUAAGCAAAAUUAAGGGGUAUUUUUGGGUCACGGUAAACCGUGGAUAACUGAAACCGUGGAUACCAGACCCGCGGAUGUGGGGGUCCUACUGUAUUUUACAUGUAGUACAGUAGAGCCCCAACUUACGAUGUCAGUACAUUCCUGAACCUAUUUUUCCAUGAGAACAGUGUUACUGUUAAUGUAUUCCUGGGCUGUAAUAUUUCAUUUCUAGUUUCACAUAAUUUUUUUCCAGAGAAUUUUUAACCAAUAUUUU